rnacentral:rRNA from 1 species
UACGUAGGGUGCAAGCGUUGUUCGGAAUUACUGGGCGUAAAGGGUGCGCAGGCGGCUUUGUAAGUCGGGGGUGAAAUCCUGCGGCUUAACCGCAGGGCUGCCUUCUAAACUGUCAGGCUUGAGCACGGUAGAGGCAGAUGGAAUUCCCGGUGUAGCGGUGGAAUGCGUAGAGAUCGGGAAGAACAUCAGUGGCGAAGGCGGUCUGCUGGGCCGUUGCUGACGCUGAGGCGCGACAGCGUGGGGAGCAAACAGG